rnacentral:lncRNA from 1 species
UAUCGAAAAUGAAAGGAGUUUGAGUUCCGGUUAUUUUUUUGUUGAUUGUUGUUGUUCGGACAUAGUUGCAUUGCAUGAGAGAUGAUGUACGGUUCACAGUCCAUGGAAGGAACAUUUUUUUAUUUUUUUCGCAGAAGGUUAAAUCCAUUUGUUUCUUGUAGCAGGUGUGCAUUAAAAUGAAUCUGUUUAAAAGGACCUGCUACUGUUUUAACUUUGUGUUU